CCUCUUCAUAAUAACCAUUAGCCAAAGAGGCUCAGCUGUUACAGGUACAAAGAAUCUCAGAUGGUUAAACUGCCUACAUUUCUCUCUGAAGUUAACAGUAGAAUAGCCAAGUAGAAUUCAUUCCCCAGAUGUUACAAGUGCUCUGAAAUAUGUUUGAAACUAUCUAAAUACUUUACACUUCUUAUAAAUUCAUAUCUUGAUCCCAGAAGAGGAUCCAGUGUGCUCACCAUGGACUAAUAAACAUUUAGAAAAGUUAAAUUACUUAGAGAUAUUUAAGUAUCACACAAAUAUGUGUAAAGUGUAGACACUCUCCAGCAUAAAACCAAACCUGCAAAGAUCUUUGUCUAUUUAAUUGCAUUUUGGUUCACCCAUUUAAUAAAGAGGAUUAUUUUUUAACCUCUCCAGUUCCAAACAGAAUUUCAGAUUCUAUUACAACAGAGUGGAAGAAGAGAAAUCUUAAACCAAGGGCAUUUAGUCACCUGCAGAGUGAGAGAGAUUGAAAAGGAAAAUGGAUUUACUGCCUUCCACAUCAGUUUGCAGGCAAUUUGUGUUUGAAUUCCUCUUAAGACAAUUUCUGCAUAAUAUUAGUGAUUUGAAAUGAUGCAAAAUGGUAUUGGAACACAGCCUCCUUUUGCAGCGCAGAGAAAUUCUCUCCUUGAGUCCUUGUUAUUCUUCUAGUCAUCUGUUUUCCUUUCAUUUAUUCUUUCAUGAUGUGCCGUGCCUUCUGACGAGUGAAACGUGAACAGGAAGUGGGAAGGAGCAAGCUUUGUCUCUGCUGCCAGUGUGCUUCAUGCAUUUGUGAAGAAGCAGACCUGCAUCAUAAAACCAACCGAAAGCCACAGAGUUACCUCUCUAAAAAAUGUAAUGGACUGUACUGAAAGCCUAACUUUGACUGAUGUGAGGUUUGGGACUUUAUCCAGGUCCUUUUCAAGACACUGAGAUAUCAAGGCUCAGAUUUUCAGAGGUCUUGACUUCAGCAAGAGCUGCACUUCUCUUUACAACAGACUAAUUGAAGGGAAAAAAAUCCAAACCUGUAGGAUGUGGGAGUCAGAUCUUACUAUGGAAAAAGGAAGAGACAUUGAUUCCCCCUCUCCAUUGGCCACAAAGCCUAUUCUGGAUAGAGGAAUUGAGAUGUUGUUGAGCUUUCAUUUUAACAGAUGUGAGAGCAUCAAAAGGUAUUAUUUUCAGUAAUUCUCUAGGUGAGAUGGACCAGUUUGAAAAUGCUGGGAGCUCUACAAGACUUUACUGCAUCCAGGACAAACAGCAAUGGAACAUUGCUCUGGAAGAAUGCAGGGAGUUGAACUGGAGGUCAGUUGUUUUGGU